rnacentral:piRNA from 1 species
UAGUACUACAGAGUUUCCUUUCAUCCCUAGC